AUACGUAGGGUGCGAGCGUUAAUCGGAAUUACUGGGCGUAAAGCGUGCGCAGGCGGUUUUGUAAGUCAGUGGUGAAAUCCCCGGGCUCAACCUGGGAACUGCCAUUGUGACUGCAAGGCUGGAGUGCGGGAGAGGGGGACGGAAUUCCGCGUGUAGCAGUGAAAUGCGUAGAGAUGCGGAGGAACACCGAUGGCGAAGGCAAUCCCCUGGGCCUGCACUGACGCUCAUGCACGAAAGCGUGGGGAGCAAACAGGAUUAGAUACCCUGGUAGUCCACGCCCUAAACGAUGUCAACUGGUUGUUGGGAAUUUAUUUUCUCAGUAACGAAGCUAACGCGUUAAGUUGACCGCCUGGGGAGUACGGCCGCAAGGUUAAAACUCAAAGGAAUUGACGGGG
rnacentral:rRNA from 1 species